rnacentral:tRNA from 1 species
CCGUCGAUAGCUCAGUUGGUAGAGCGGUGGACUGUAGAUCCAUAGGUCGCUGGUUCGAAUCCGGCUUGACGGA